rnacentral:rRNA from 1 species
AUUGAACGCUGGCGGCAGGCCUAACACAUGCAAGUCGAACGAGUGGCGGACGGGUGAGUAAUGUCUGGGAAACUGCCUGAUGGAGGGGGAUAACUACUGGAAACGGUAGCUAAUACCGCAUACCAUCAGAUGGGCCCAGAUGGGAUUAGCUAGUUGGUGGGGUAACGGCUAACCAAGGCGACGAUCCCUAGCUGGUCUGAGAGGAUGACCCGCCACACCUGGACUGAGACACGGUCCAGACUCCUACGGGAGGCCGCAGUGGGGAAUAUUGCCCAAUGGGCGCAAGCCUGAUGGAGCCAUGCCGCGUGUAUGAAGAAGGCCGUCGGGUUGUAAAGUACUUUCAGCGGGGAGGCGUUACCCGCAGAAGAAGCCCCGGCUAACUCCGUGCCAGCCGCCGCGGUAAUAC